GAUGAACGCUGGCGGCGUGCCUAAUACAUGCAAGUCGAGCGAACGGACGAGAAGCUUGCUUCUCUGAUGUUAGCGGCGGACGGGUGAGUAACACGUGGAUAACCUACCUAUAAGACUGGGAUAACUUCGGGAAACCGGAGCUAAUACCGGAUAAUAUUUUGAACCGCAUGGUUCAAAAGUGAAAGACGGUCUUGCUGUCACUUAUAGAUGGAUCCGCGCUGCAUUAGCUAGUUGGUAAGGUAACGGCUUACCAAGGCAACGAUGCAUAGCCGACCUGAGAGGGUGAUCGGCCACACUGGAACUGAGACACGGUCCAGACCCCUACGGGAGGCAGCAGUAGGGAAUCUUCCGCAAUGGGCGAAAGCCUGACGGAGCAACGCCGCGUGAGUGAUGAAGGUCUUCGGAUCGUAAAACUCUGUUAUUAGGGAAGAACAUAUGUGUAAGUAACUGUGCACAUCUUGACGGUACCUAAUCAAAAAGCCACGGCUAACUACGUG
rnacentral:rRNA from 1 species